CUUCUCUGCUCCUGCCUAGCUCCCACAGGCAGGAUGAGCACCGCUGGGUCUCGAGCGGGAGCUGCAGGGAGUGAAAAGUCGACCGGAAUUUUAUACAAGAAAAUUGGGAAGAUUGUGUUAGCCUCUCUGGCUGCCAAACCUGCAAGAUGUAAAUUGGCGGAAUCUGGAGCAGGUAUAUUUUCUAUAAUUGGAGGAAGCCACACUGCCAUCUUCUUCUCCAUUUAUCUAAAUCCCAGGCAUUCCUCAAGGCUUAGCAGAGGCUUUGCCUUAUAAGUUUAUCCUUGGUCUCCUCAUCUGGAAUGCCUUACACCUUCUGCCUAAGGCCUGGCUUUUCUGCCCUUCAAAGUAUAUUUUUUCUGUCGCUAGAAAUUGAGAAAGAAUGAAUAUACCCAAAGCAACUUUCAACCAACAAUGGACGACAACCAGUGGAUGCAAGCAAAGGAGGCUCCUGAUCGGUGACAACUGACUGAACACCAAAAAGGAAACCUCCUGAAGUGAAAUGGACACUAUGAGAAAUGGUGACUUGAUCAGCAUAGCCCUGACUGCUAAUGGACAACUUAAUACAUUAUCCCUCUUAGUAUUUUUUUUUUGUCUGUUCUACUUAAUAUGACUGGUUUAAUUCUGUAAUUAUCACACAGUUAUUCUUAAGUGUUGAAAAUUAACUGAAAUGUGAUCCCUGUUAAACAUAAGAGUGGGAAUAAGAGAGGGAAGAGAUGUAUAAUUUGGGGCAUGCUCGGGCUGACUUGCCCCAAUUGGUAGAGUUGGAAACAUACCAGGGGAUUCCAAUUCAAUCCCAUCAAGGUGGCAUGUGCCAAUGCCAUCUCACUAUUCCAAGUGAUCAAUUUCAGUUCACAAUUGAUCAUAAUGAAAGGACUAAGAGUCAAAUGGAGCACAUAAACAAGUCUAGUAUCUGCUAACACUAACCGAUAGAAUAAAUAAAGGGGAGAGUGAUCCAACAUGGGAAGUGAGAUACUCAGCAGACUCAUAGAAUGGCAGAUGUCCUAAAUAGCACUCUGGCCUCAGAAUCAGCCCUGAAGGCACUCGGAUCUGGCUGAAAAGCCCAUGAGAGUAUUUCAGGCAUGGAAAGCCAAGACACUCUGGCAAAAAGAUCUCUGUGAGUGAGAUCCCAGUGGAAAGAACAGGUCUUCAAAGAGGGAGGUGCCUUUCUCUGAAGGGAGGAGAGAACCUCCACUUUGACUAUGACCGUGUCUAAACAAGAUAAGAGUCGGAGAACUCAAGGGGCUUCCAUAGCCUUGGAAACUCAUGACUGGUGCAUAGGGAGAUUACUGAUGCCAUAAACAGGAGUGUCAAUUUGUAAAAUCAACAACAGGAGUCACUGUGCACUUACUCCUCAUGUAGGAUCUCUGUCCUUAAUGUGCUGUACACUGAGACUUAAUGCUAUAACGAGUACUCAAACAGUAUAUUUCGCUUUGUGUUUCUAUGGGGGUGCAAACGAUUGAAAUCUUUACUUAAUGUACACUAAACUGAUCUUCUGUAAAAAAAAAAAAAAAAAAAAAAAAAAAAAAGAAA